rnacentral:rRNA from 1 species
GACGACGGCUGGCGGCGUGCCUGACACAUGCAAGUCGGACGGUUCUUGUAUCUUCAAGCUUGCUUGCAGGUGCAAGGAUAGUGGCGGACGGGUGAGUAACGCGUGAACAUCUACCCAUUGGAGGGGGACAACCCGUCGAAAGGCGGGCUAAUACCGCGUAAGCCGCGAGGUGAGAGGCUGCCUAUUGGUGGCCGCCGAUGGAUGGGUUCGCGUCCUAUCAGCUGGUUGGUGGGGUAACGGCCUACCAAGGCGAAGACGGGUAGCCGGUCUGAGAGGAUGGCCGGCCACACUGGAACUGAGACACGGUCCAGACUCCUACGGGAGGCAGCAGUGGGGAAUAUUGGGCAAUGGGGGAGACCCUGACCCAGCGACGCCGCGUGAGGGAUGAAGGUUUUCGGAUCGUAAACCUCUGUUGUACGGGAAGAAGGAUGUGACGGUACCGUACGAGAAAGCCCCGGCAAACUACGUG